AUACUUUUGUGCCUUCAUACCUCUCUCUAUUCAGUUACUCCAUUUCCACUCAAAAUAGUGUGCAAUAAAAUGCACAAGUUUAUAAAAAUAUGCCUUCUGUGUUAGUUGUAAUUUCAAAUUUUAAUAUUUUUUAUUUGAAAAAUAGCUACGUAAACCAUGUAGAGGUUAGAAUUGAUUAAGCAUGAUAUACAUUUUGUUAAAUAAACAAACCAUGGCUUUUAUGAUUCUGUACAUUUCAGAAACAAAAAUAGCAGACUAGCAGCUUGGAGAUCUGUUACACCAGAACACCUCUGGCAUCCUUUGCUAUUCUGAGAUAAUAAUCUCUCUCAAAAAAUUUGGCACAGUCAGCCUAUUUUGAAAAGGUAGCACGUCUUAUCUGCCUUGUAUGCAGAAAGUCGGUUAGUCCUGGCAUCUCCAGCAAUUCGGUUAAACGCGUUGUAAACUUAAAAGUUCCCUUGGCAAAAAAUGGGACUCCACAGCGCCAUGUGGUGUCCUAGUGCUAUAACGCAUAUAAAACUACAAAUGUAGCUGAGUCCAAGGUAGGGUUGGGAAAGACCAGAGUUUGUCAACCUAAUCCCUACUGCCCACUAGAGGGCAUUUCAGGAUUCUAGGUGGGUGUUAGGGGGUUCUACGGCACAAGCUGAAUCCUGUCAAACACUGCUGGGCUGUAAGGAAAUUUUACCAUCAAGAAAGAUACAUUAGUGGGCGGCAGGUAUAAAAAGGUUGACUAUCCCUGGGAAAGACGCUUGCCUGAAACACCGGAGAAGCUGUUGCCGGUCAAUGUUGACAAUGCUGAGCUAGAUAGACCAAUAGUUUGACUCAGCAUAAAGCAGUGACCUAUGUACAUAUCUCUGUCCUUGAUCCAUCCUAUAUUGCCUAUGUUUACUCCCAUCUUGUAAGCCCUAAUUUUGUCUGUAUCUUAACUGGAUCAAAAUGUAGAAUGGCUUCCUGCAUGGAAAAACUCUUGUGUCCAAGUCCUACUUGGAGUAAAUACCUUUUAAGUUAAUGAACAUCGGUUAAUUGUGUCCAUUAGUUCAAAGAAUCUCCUCUGAAUAGGACUAACAUUGAAUGCAACCCUCCUUUUUGGGUUGGCUUUCUGUGUUACUUUGUUUAAGGGUGAACAGCAGCUACUGCCAUCAGGCUAUUCAGUGCUCUUGGAGUAGCUUACAAAAAAUACUUUUGCAAUUUUUAAAAGCCAUGGGCCAUAAAAUCCAUAAUUAAAUAGGACUUUUCCUAUAGCCGUACAUACAUCUGGAAAGGAUCUAAAAGUUCAUUUAGUCUCAAUCCCUUCCAGUGCAGAAAAAAACCAGUAUUGCAGCAGAACACUAGAUUAAAAUACUAGCACAAAAAAGUAAGAGCCAGAGGAGUAUAGUGGUUAGAGUGCUGGACCUAGGACCUGGGAUCAGGGUUCAAAUCCUCACUCAGCCAUCAAGCUCACUGGGUAAUCUUGGGCCAGUCACACUCAGCCUAACCUAUCUCACAAGGUUGUGCAAAUAAAAAUGAGGACUUGAAGAACCAUGUAUGCCUACUUGAACUCCUUGGAGGAAAGAUGGGAUAGAAGUGUCAUAAAUAAGAAUAAAACACUAGUAUUAAAUAUUUCACAAAGUCCUGGGCAAAUGAGGGUUUUCUUGGUAUG